rnacentral:misc_RNA from 1 species
AAACAAAUUAACUUCUGUUCCAGAGUUUAUAGCUUAGAAAGCAAGAGAAUUUUUAUAAUUUGCAGCUUUGCUGGAUUAUGGUGACUGGAUGUCUUCAGGGUUUACUUUUGAGUCUCUGUUAUUAUUUCAAGUUUUAUUUUAUAUUAGGAGUCCUUUUCGAUUUAGAAGUCCAGAUCCUUAGAAGAUUAAGAUUAGUUAUGUUUUUAAUUUUUGAGUAUAUUUUGAGUCUGUACAUACCCAUGCUUGUGAUGAUUUAUUAAUAAGCAUUGUCGUUGAAUAAAAUUUCAGUAGAUAUGGAACUUUGGAUUGUCUGAUGCAAUUCAACCAUAAUUAAUUCAAGCUAUCUAAAUCCUGUCUCUUUCCCUUCAAAUUCAGUCAUCAACUUUGUAGGUUCAUUUUUUUCAAUCUAUAAUCCUCUUUCCUUACACAUUUGUUGAUCAAAGAUUACCAAAGCAGUUCUAUGCCAUUUAAAGAAUCCUAACCCCUUAAGGUUAUAUUGCAUGCUUCUAUUAGCAAAGAAAACAGUUAUUUCUAGGUUAUCUGAUUAAAGCUUAUGAUUCAUUUAGUUUUUUCAUACAUAUAUAUACAUAUAUUUAUAUGUAUUAUCA